rnacentral:rRNA from 1 species
UACGUAGGGGGCUAGCGUUGUCCGGAAUCAUUGGGCGUAAAGCGCGUGUAGGCGGUUCGGUAAGUCCGCUGUGAAAGUCGGGGGCUCAACCUCGGGCGUGCGAUGGAUACUGCCGGGCUAGAGGGUGGUAGAGGCGAGUGGAAUUCCCGGUGUAGCGGUGAAAUGCGCAGAUAUCGGGAGGAACACCAGUAGCGAAGGCGGCUCGCUGGGCCACACCUGACGCUGAGACGCGAAAGCUAGGGGAGCGAACAGG